rnacentral:tRNA from 3 species
GCGAGAGUGGCGGAAUUGGUAGACGCACUGGAUUUAGGUUCCAGCAUCCAAGUGAUGUGGGGGUUCGAGUCCCCCCUUUCGCACCA